GACGAACGCUGGCGGCGUGCUUAACAUAUGCAAGUCGAACGGAAAGGCUCCAGCUUGCUGGAGUACUCGAGUGGCGAACGGGUGAGUAACACGUGGGUAAUCUGCCCUGCACUCUGGGAUAAGCCUGGGAAACUGGGUCUAAUACUGGAUAUGACCUUUCUCCUUAUGGGGUUUGGUGGAAAGUUUUUCGGUGUAGGAUGAGCCCGCGGCCUAUCAGCUUGUUGGUGGGGUGAUGGCCUACCAAGGCGACGACGGGUAGCCGGCCUGAGAGGGUGAUCGGCCACAUUGGGACUGAGAUACGGCCCAGACUCCUACGGGAGGCAGCAGUGGGGAAUAUUGCACAAUGGGCGGAAGCCUGAUGCAGCGACGCCGCGUGAGGGAUGACGGCCUUCGGGUUGUAAACCUCUUUCAGCAGGGACGAAGCGUAAGUGACGGUACCUGCAGAAGAAGCACCGGCUAACUAUGUG
rnacentral:rRNA from 1 species